rnacentral:lncRNA from 1 species
UUCUUACACGCCUGUUUCUCUCUUAUCUCACCUACCUAUCCUUCUUUAGUCGGUUACAAGUUGUUCAAGCAGCUGUUACAAGUCGCUGAUGAUGUUUAUGAUCCAAUGUGGAUCUUAUUUCAGUUGUUGAUCCUUCGUGUGGAUCUGUGGUUACUAUAGAUCCUGUGGAUCUCUGUUUUGGUUGUAUUGUCCUUGUUAAUCAACUGAUAAUCAUCAGUUGAUUAUUUAUUAUUUCUUGUACUGUUUGUAUUUUGGAUCUUACAGUUUGUAAGGUCUUGGGCGUUGGGUGUUUUUCGGUUUGGGUAACUAAUAAGAUUUUUACGUCACGUUUUGUCGCUUCUUUUGUGUUUCUUGUUGUUUCUGUGUUUGUAUUGUGAGUCUUUCAUACCAUUUUGACAUGGUAUCAGAGCCACAGGCUCUUGAUUCGUUGUUUUUUUUUUUUUCAAAGUUUUGUUAAUAAUAAAAACCCUUAUUUGUUCAUUUGAUUCAUGGAUCUGAAGUGUUGGGUUUAUUAUUGUUUGAGUAUUUCUGAUCUUGGGGUUCAACCGUGUUUUGAGUUUUUAAGUGCUCUUGUGACUUAGUGGUUGUUCGAUUCUAGUGUCUUCCGCUGCAAGAGUGAUUCGUCUUUUAGGGUUUCUUUCGUCUUGAACCCUAGAUUUUUUGUUUGUCUCGUUGUCGAUUGGUUUAGGGUUCAAUCACACAUUUUCAAUCCUAAGUCGAAGGUUCUCCUGAUAUUUGGUGUUCUAGCACUGUUCGUUGUACAAAACCCUAGCUCAAGCAGUCUCUGAAAAAACAGCACAUCUUGAUUCGCUGGUCUCUUUGGCAAGGUUAUUGUGGAAAAGGGACGUUAAUAUAUUGUUGUCAAUUUGGGCUUGUUCAAGUUGAAACUGCUGAUCCGUGUUUAGAGUGUUGUACCCAGGGUUUCUAGCGACCUGAAUAUGAUCUAUUGUUCUUUUCACAGUAAAUCCAAAAUUACCACUUAUUGGAAGAUUAGGGGGCAAAGUGAAACAUGGGCUGUUGCUGUUAUAAAAAAGGAAAAGUUAAGUGUAUCUGGAUGAUUCUUACACGCCUGUUUCUCUCUUAUCUCACCUACCUAUCCUUCUUUAGUCGGUUACAAGUUGUUCAAGCAGCUGUUACAAGUCGCUGAUGAUGUUUAUGAUCCAAUGUGGAUCUUAUUUCAGUUGUUGAUCCUUCGUGUGGAUCUGUGGUUACUAUAGAUCCUGUGGAUCUCUGUUUUGGUUGUAUUGUCCUUGUUAAUCAACUGAUAAUCAUCAGUUGAUUAUUUAUUAUUUCUUGUACUGUUUGUAUUUUGGAUCUUACAGUUUGUAAGGUCUUGGGCGUUGGGUGUUUUUCGGUUUGGGUAACUAAUAAGAUUUUUACGUCACGUUUUGUCGCUU